UUCAGUCCCAUACAGCAGCCUGGAAGCCACACCGUGGAGCUGUGACCUUUCCCUCAGCCCCUGGGUUUGCUUACAGCUCACCCCACCCACAGCAGUAGCCUUGGGAAACAGCCCCACCUUGAAGCCUGGCAACUUGGGGUCAAGUCUCAGCCACUUUGCCUUAACAGAGAAGCCCUUUCCCUGUCCCCACCCACAAAGUGAGACCAAGCCUACCCUACCCCUGCCUGCCUCCCCUUGCAGGGCUGCUGCAGGUGUCCAGAAGAGACUAUGUAAAAAGGGUUCUGUAAAUGAAAGUGCUCAUUAGGGGGUCGAUACCCUUCUCCCUUCUUCACCCUCACUCCCUCCAAGGGAGGCAAAGAAAAUUAACUUGAUAAAGAAACUGGGCUGGAUAAACUCCUACUCUGCCUCUCUCGCUUCCUCCAGCCCUCCUCUCAGGUGAGCAGUGCUCCCUUCAUGAAGAACAGUCAGGGAAGGCACUAGCCUGAGGCUACGCAUCGGUAUCACACCUGGAUGGAACCUCACAUCUGGCUGACUCCAGGACUAAGGGCUUGUGGAAGGACAAAACUACAGUCAAAGAGGAAGGUGCUUGCCUAAGGUUGCUUCAGGGCAGGCUGGGAAGCAGCAAGAGAACCAAUUCCACUGAUCCUCCCCCAGUGACAGCUUAAAUCCCAAGGAGAAGAGGUAUCUUGAACCAAGGCCAGGAGAGGGCUGCAGGCGUUCCCAGCUGGGAUUCUCUGGGAGGUGCCAAAUGAACUUGAAUCUUCAACUCCAGACCUUCAGAGAGCAAGCAGGCAAGAAAAAUAUGGGGCCUGGAAAAGCUGCGCUGGAAAGGGCAGAGACCUUGCUGUCCUGGCUCUGUCACUAGCUACACGGCCUUGCCCCUGUGCACCUCAGUCUCCCCUCUGUCAGAUGAGGUCACCUUUCAGGCCCUCCAGCUCUAAGAGUGUGCAAAACAGUU